UACGAAGGGGGCUAGCGUUGCUCGGAAUCACUGGGCGUAAAGCGCACGUAGGCGGCUUUUUAAGUCAGGGGUGAAAUCCUGGAGCUCAACUCCAGAACUGCCUUUGAUACUGGGAAGCUUGAGUCCGGAAGAGGUGAGUGGAACUCCGAGUGUAGAGGUGAAAUGCGUAGAUAUCGGGAGGAACACCAAUUGCGAAGGCAGCUCGCUGGGACGUCACUGACGCUGAGACGCGAAAGCGUGGGGAGCAAACAGG
rnacentral:rRNA from 1 species